CUUACCUGGGACAAGGUGAGACACGGACGGGACAUGUGGAGGGAGGAAGCAGAAGGUAAGAGGCAGAGGAGAACCGCAGAAAGACUUGGACCCACCUGGACUCUACAGCCAGGUGGCGCCGCCUGUUGGCCACCUGGCAGAAUGCAUGUUGAUGACGUAUCUGCCUUGGCGUCAUAACUCAGACCCAGAGACGCUUCAGGCUGAAGGGACUGAGCAGAACCGGACCGGAUCGGGCCGGGCCGGGCCGACCUGCGGCUGAGAAACAUCGACACGCUC